rnacentral:rRNA from 1 species
UACGGAGGGUGCAAGCGUUAUCCGGAUUUACUGGGUUUAAAGGGUGCGUAGGUAGGUUGGUAAGUCAGUGGUGAAAUACUUUCGCUUAACGAAGGAACUGCCAUUGAUACUAUCAAUCUUGAAUGUAGUGGAGGUAGGCGGAAUGCGUCAUGUAGCGGUGAAAUGCUUAGAUAUGACGCAGAACACCAAUUGCGAAGGCAGCUUGCUACACUACUAUUGACACUGAGGCACGAAAGCGUGGGGAUCAAACAGG